rnacentral:sRNA from 1 species
CUGUAUAAAAUGUACAUUGUACAUAUGUCGAUGCUUUUUUAAUGUUCGUUUCGCAUGUCACUCAUUUUUCCAAUCUGGCAAUGCCCUGCUGCCCGCGUCCUCAGAUGAAUUUUUGUGGCUUUACAAUGAGCAAAAAGAGAUCAGAUCCGAUUGCUCUCCCGCUCUCUCGUUACAAAUCAUAGGGCAAAGAGGGAGGAGGAGUCCCAUCAGGUUUGGGUGUGUGUGCAAUGCCUCUCACUUUUUCGUGUAGUUGCAUUACAAAAGCAGCGCCGUGACGUCAUUUAUCUGUGAGCAGCGAUAGCCUUACAGAAGAGUUUCGGAAUUUCCUGGUUCAAAUUUCAUAUACAUAGGUACUUUUAAGGCGUAGAACCAAGUGCCUGUCAAUCGAAUGACUGACAAAGAGGCACACGCUGUAGAUAAGCGCUGGUGCAGAUAACAACGAAAUGAGCGACUUUUACAGAUAGUAACCUUCCCGAAAAACAUUUAUUUCGAACGAUCUCCAAUGCACUUCUCUGCUUUUCCAUAUUUAUAAAUAAAAUUUGCAUUACAUGUGGCAGUUAGUUAAUUAAUUGGCACCCCACAGCAUGUGUUUGCUCGUUAUUUAUGUAUCUGGGAUUAUAACUUAUUUAUUCCGCUAAUCCCACGAGCCAAUUGUUGUUAUAUGUAUUUGUAUUUCUUGCAGUGUCAUUGCAAUGGGGUGGAGGGAAUGGAGAGGAGGAAGCUGCCCGAAACCGACUAUACUCAUUCAGAGAUGGAGAGGAACGUCAGCUCUGGGAAUCUUAGGCGCGCGCUCCAUCAAUCAACUUGAUUCUGCUUAACACGUCAGAAGUAUCUUUCGCCUGGCAUCGUCGUUCCCUUUAAAUCAAGCAAUGAAUAUUUAAACGCAGAACCAGAUCUGGUCAUUAGGGAGAAAGAGACGUAAGCAUCUAAGAUCGGAACUGGAAUCUCAUCGGCGGAAUGGGAAUAUGAGUAAGAUCCCAGUGGAAUUGAAUUAAUUGAUCUGCUGGGAGAAACCGAUUUCGUUUGUAUUCUUUGGUUGGUCUUAAUGGCCUAUUAUUUAUAAACAAUUUUGGUAUUUUGUAAUCUCGCUGGUGCCGAAGAUUAUUUAUAGACAGAAUGCAGA